UACGGAGGAUCCAAGCGUUAUCCGGAUUUAUUGGGUUUAAAGGGUGCGUAGGCGGCCUGUUAAGUCAGGGGUGAAAGACGGUAGCUCAACUAUCGCAGUGCCCUUGAUACUGAUGGGCUUGAAUGUACUAGAGGUAGGCGGAAUGUGACAAGUAGCGGUGAAAUGCAUAGAUAUGUCACAGAACACCUAUUGCGAAGGCAGCUAGCUAGACCGACAUUGACGCUGAGGCACGAAAGCGUGGGGAUCAAACAGGG
rnacentral:rRNA from 1 species